rnacentral:rRNA from 1 species
UACGAAGGGGGCGAGCGUUGUUCGGAAUCACUGGGCGUAAAGGGCGCGUAGGCGGCGGGUCAAGUCGAGUGUGAAAGCCCCGGGCUCAACCUGGGAACGGCGCUCGGGACUGGUCUGCUGGAGUUCGGGAGAGGAGAGCGGAAUUCCCAGUGUAGAGGUGAAAUUCGUAGAUAUUGGGAAGAACACCGGUGGCGAAGGCGGCUCUCUGGACCGAGACUGACGCUGAGGCGCGAAAGCGUGGGGAGCAAACAGG